GACGAACGCUGGCGGCGUGCCUAAUACAUGCAAGUAGAACGCUGAAGAGAGGAGCUUGCUCUUCUUGGAUGAGUUGCGAACGGGUGAGUAACGCGUAGGUAACCUGCCUUGUAGCGGGGGAUAACUAUUGGAAACGAUAGCUAAUACCGCAUAACAAUGGAUGACACAUGUCAUUUAUUUGAAAGGGGCAAUUGCUCCACUACAAGAUGGACCUGCGUUGUAUUAGCUAGUAGGUGAGGUAACGGCUCACCUAGGCGACGAUACAUAGCCGACCUGAGAGGGUGAUCGGCCACACUGGGACUGAGACACGGCCCAGACUCCUACGGGAGGCAGCAGUAGGGAAUCUUCGGCAAUGGGGGCAACCCUGACCGAGCAACGCCGCGUGAGUGAAGAAGGUUUUCGGAUCGUAAAGCUCUGUUGUAAGUCAAGAACGAGUGUGAGAGUGGAAAGUUCACACUGUGACGGUAGCUUACCAGAAAGGGACGGCUAACUACGUGCCAGCAGCCGCGGUAAUACGUAGGUCCCGAGCGUUGUCCGGAUUUAUUGGGCGUAAAGCGAGCGCAGGCGGUUUGAUAAGUCUGAAGUUAAAGGCUGUGGCUCAACCAUAGUUCGCUUUGGAAACUGUCAAACUUGAGUGCAGAAGGGGAGAGUGGAAUUCCAUGUGUAGCGGUGAAAUGCGUAGAUAUAUGGAGGAACACCGGUGGCGAAAGCGGCUCUCUGGUCUGUAACUGACGCUGAGGCUCGAAAGCGUGGGGAGCGAACAGGAUUAGAUACCCUGGUAGUCCACGCCGUAAACGAUGAGUGCUAGGUGUUGGAUCCUUUCCGGGAUUCAGUGCCGCAGCUAACGCAUUAAGCACUCCGCCUGGGGAGUACGACCGCAAGGUUGAAACUCAAAGGAAUUGACGGGGGCCCGCACAAGCGGUGGAGCAUGUGGUUUAAUUCGAAGCAACGCGAAGAACCUUACCAGGUCUUGACAUCCCGAUGCUAUUUCUAGAGAUAGAAAGUUACUUCGGUACAUCGGUGACAGGUGGUGCAUGGUUGUCGUCAGCUCGUGUCGUGAGAUGUUGGGUUAAGUCCCGCAACGAGCGCAACCCCUAUUGUUAGUUGCCAUCAUUCAGUUGGGCACUCUAGCGAGACUGCCGGUAAUAAACCGGAGGAAGGUGGGGAUGACGUCAAAUCAUCAUGCCCCUUAUGACCUGGGCUACACACGUGCUACAAUGGUUGGUACAACGAGUUGCGAGUCGGUGACGGCAAGCUAAUCUCUUAAAGCCAAUCUCAGUUCGGAUUGUAGGCUGCAACUCGCCUACACGAAGUCGGAAUCGCUAGUAAUCGCGGAUCAGCACGCCGCGGUGAAUACGUUCCCGGGCCU
rnacentral:rRNA from 1 species